rnacentral:lncRNA from 1 species
GCAGCAGCCCGAGCCCAUGAUUCCCAUAUGCCCUGUAGUUUCUUUCACCUAUGUGCCCAGCCGGCUGGGGGAAGAUGCCAAAAUGGCGACCGGCAACUACUUUGGAUUCACCCACAGCGGGGCGGCGGCGGCGGCGGCUGCGGCCCAGUAUAGGUAACGGCUCCCCGCCUUCUCCCUUUUCUCUCCCUCCGCGCCUCGCGGUCGGUCUCCCGCCGACGCUCCGGCCCGCGGCCG